CUUUAUUUACACUUAAUUUAGUAAGAAAUUAAAAUACUAAUUUAAAUAUUUUUGUUCCUUUGUGUAAAACUUAAAAGUUCAAGGAUGUGAAAUUAAUUUUGUAUUCUGUAUAAUAAAAAAUUCUUAAUACAACCUUAACAUAUUCAAUUUAAAAAAUAAAAUUGAAAAAAAAUGAGAAAUGACACUGUAUUAGAAAAAACAAAAAAAGAAAACACUUCAGCACCUG
rnacentral:lncRNA from 1 species